rnacentral:rRNA from 1 species
UACGGAGGGGGCGAGCGUUAUCCGGAAUCACUGGGUUUAAAGGGUGCGUAGGCGGCUCGGUAAGUCAGUUGUGAAAGCCCCUUGCUUAACGAGGGAGGUGCGAUUGAUACUGUCGGGCUUGAAUCGGGAUGAGGCAGGCGGAAUGUGGCAUGUAGCGGUGAAAUGCAUAGAGAUGCCAGAGAACACCGAUUGCGAAGGCAGCCUGCUGGGCCUGUUUUGACGAUGAGGCACGAAAGAGUGGGGAGCAAACAGG